GACGAACGCUGGCGGCGUGCCUAAUACAUGCAAGUAGAACGCAGUUGCGAAAGGGUGAGGAACGCGUAGGUAACUGCCUCAUAGCGGGGGAUAACUAUUGGAAACGAUAGCUAAUACCUCAUACUUUGAGAUGGACCUGCGUUGUAUUAGCUAGUUGGUGAGGUAAAGGCUCACCAAGGCGACGAUACAUAGCCGACCUGAGAGGAUGGUCGGCCAGCCUGGGACUGAGACCCGGCACAGAGUCAUGCGGAAGGCCGCAGAAGGGAAUCUGCGGGAAUGGGCGGAAGUCUGACCGAGCAACGCCGAGUGAGUGAGGAGGAUUUUCGGAUCGUAAAGCUCUGUUGUUAGAGAGGCGGUAGCUAACCAGAAAGGGACGGCUAACUACGUGCCAGCCGCCGCGGUAAUUC
rnacentral:rRNA from 1 species